UCUUUGUUCCGCCCGACUGUUUCUCUCCGCCUGUCGGACGCACGCACACCUUUUCUUGUCUUUUUCUUUUCUGAAGUAACCUUUCAUUUUCCAUCGUCUACUUUAAAAAAAAAGAAAGAAAGAAAACGCGUCAAAUGUCUUUCUUUCAACCGUUGAAUCUUGACCUAAAGAGGAAAAGUCGUCAACGUAUUUGUCGCUUUUGUAGCAACGGAACAGCGUUUUUUCGUAUCGGCACGGGGGACUAUUUUAGUUCGCCGGGUGAGUGAGUAUGUAUCGAGCUUUCAGUCGUGAUUUUCCAGCCUGCGCUUCUCCUUUUGGAAGAUCCAGCCAACGGAGGCGUUUUGAAGACUCGUAUCAGAGGGAAUCAAGUCCCUCUGGUUGUUGCAAUGCCAACUGUUUGCCAACAGAGGUUGAUAAAGGUCAUGCAUUGCUCAAUGGAGCUGUAUCUCAUCGUCUUGUUGUUCCUCAUCGUUUGAAACACACAGUCCCCGUCGACGUAGGACCAUCGUGACCGCCGUCAGUCAUUUUCCACCGUGACGAUGACUGGAAAUAGAGGAACUUAAAGGUUCAAGAACCACAAAGCUGAGGAACUAUACAUUCUGCUUUGGUGUAUUCUUUUCAUCCCCGCCGCAUCUCAACCACCGGGGCCAGGACGUGUUUUAUGAUCCUUUCUGUUUUGUUUUUUAUUGUUUUUAUAUACAUUUUCAUAAAGAUUCAGUGACUUGUCGGGUGCCUCGGGACGCCGUGCUGACCUGAUGUUUGCACAGAGGGCCCCGUCAGCCUGGAAGACGUUUCAUCAGAGUGGAAGGGGACAAGGAAAAAAAAAAAAUGGUGGAUCUGCAGAUGCUCUGGACAGGGAGGUGAGCAAACAAUCACCAAGAGCAGGUGCCUUUUGAUGGACAAGGCUGCCAGCGCAAAGGCUGCAUGUCAGCCAAGCGUUCCACUUCCUCCCGCGAUACUCCACGCCAAAGAGAAUCCUCUCCGUCUCCGCGGCGCAGUGAAAGAAGUUGAAAAGGACGUCUGGGUAUUUUAAAUGGCUAAACCGGAAGAGUCACCCCGUGCAACGUGAAGGCAUUUGAAAAUAUAACUUUUGUCUUUUUUCAUAAUGUGCAACUGUCAGGAUCUGUAGUGUUGUUUCGUGUUUCCUGUCUUAUUUUGAAGUCCUUGU